CGGCGGACGGGUGAGUAACGCGUGGGUAACCUGCCUCAUACAGGGGGAUAACAGUUAGAAAUGACUGCUAAUACCGCAUAAGACCACAGCACCGCAUGGUGCGGGGGUAAAAACUCCGGUGGUAUGAGAUGGACCCGCGUCUGAUUAGCUAGUUGGUAAGGUAACGGCUUACCAAGGCGACGAUCCAUAGCCGACCUGAGAGGGUGACCGGCCACAUUGGGACUGAGACACGGCCCAA
rnacentral:rRNA from 1 species